rnacentral:rRNA from 1 species
AGUGAACGCUGGCGGCAGGCCUAACACAUGCAAGUCGAGCGGCAGCGCGUCCGACCACCCUCGGGUGGUCGGAUGGCGGCGAGCGGCGGACGGGUGAGGAAUGCAUCGGAAUCUGCCUCGUUGUGGGGGAUAACGUAGGGAAACUUACGCUAAUACCGCAUACGACCUACGGGUGAAAGUGGGGGACCUUCGGGCCUCACGCGAUGAGAUGAGCCGAUGCCGGAUUAGCUAGUUGGCGGGGUAAAGGCCCACCAAGGCUUCGAUCGGUAGCCGGCCUGAGAGGGCGGACGGCCACACUGGGACUGAGAUACGGCCCAGACUCCUACGGGAGGCAGCAGUCGAGAGGCUUCGGCAAUGGGGGAAACCUUGACCGAGCGACGCCGCGUGAGCGAUGAAGCCCUUCGGGGUGUAAAGCUCUUUUGCGAGGGAAGAACUGCAACGGCCUAAUACGCUGUUGUUUUGACGGUACCCUACGAAUAAGCUCCGGCUAACUCCGUGCCAGCAGCCG